CCUCACCAGACGCAGAUGCUGGUGCCACGCUUCCUGUACAGCCUGCCGAGCCACGGCUGCACAAACCUUUCUUCUUCAUAAAUCACCCAGCCUCGGGUGUUCCUUUCUAGCAACACACACGGACUAAGCCGGACGACAUGACGUGGCUGCUCCCGCCGCCUCCUGGCACCUCCCUGACUCACGCGCUUGGUGCAUGGUGGGGUCAUGAGCGGGCACAGGCAGCCACUUCGCUGCUUGCAUCAUCGGCCCCAUAUAGUUCCCCACAGAUGAUCCCUGCGUCAGUUGCCAGAGCUGAUGGUGUUCCCUGUUUUAUCCUGUGGUUUCACUUCCGGAUGCUGCUACCGAUGCCCAUCUCUGUGGCUCCCUGCCCACGCGUGCAGCCCCGUCACUGAGAGGGAAGUGGCUGGAGAGGCGUCCAGAUCUGGAAAGACGGAAU